CCCUUAGAUGUCCGGGGCCGCACGCGCGCUACACUGAAGGAAUCAGCGUGGCUUUCUCCCUGACCCGAGAGGGUUGGGAAACCCGUUGAAUCUCCUUCGUGAUAGGGAUUGGGGCUUGAAAUUGUUCCCCAUGAACGAGGAAUUCCCAGUAAGCGCGAGUCAUAAGCUCGCGUUGAUUACGUCCCUGCCCUUUGUACACACCGCCCGUCGCUCCUACCGAUUGGGUGUGCUGGUGAAAUGUUCGGAUCGGCCGUUUGUCGCGGUUUCCGCGUCAUGUGGCUGAGAAGUUCAUUAAACCCUCCCACCUAGAGGAAGGAGAAGUCGUAACA
rnacentral:rRNA from 1 species